GACAGAGGAGGCGUGCGUUAUCCGGAGUUAUUGGGCGUAAAGGGUAUGUAGGCGGCUGGUCAAGCCUGGGGUUAAAGACCACAGCUUAACUGUGGGGGGGCCUUGAAAACUGACCGGCUGGAGUGGGGCAGGUGUUGCGGGAAUUCCCGGUGUAGCGGUGAAAUGCGUAGAUAUCGGGAAAAACACCUGAUGCGAAAGCGCGCAACUGGGCCCUAACUGACGCUGAGAUACUAAAUCUAGGAGAGCGAAUUUC
rnacentral:rRNA from 1 species